rnacentral:rRNA from 1 species
GUUUCUUCUACUACUGAAGCCUUGCACCCAGUCUGCCCCGGCAGGCAACAUCUUCACUGUGCUUGGAUACCCAUCAGCGGUAACAAGCAGCUGCUCAGCAGUCCACAGAUCAAACGAAGGUGGUCCACCCAGUGGAUUCAGAUAUGACCGGCCCACCGCCGAAAGCGCGGUUGAGUCAGCGUUCCGUAGGUGAACCUGCGGAAGGAUCAUUACAGAGAACUUGCCCUUCGGGGUAGAUCUCCCACCCUUUGUCUACCAUACUUUGUUGCUUUGGCAGGCCCGCCCUUGGGCCGCCGGCUUCGGCUGGCCAGCGCCUGCCAGAGGACCACAAACUCUUGUUUUUAGUGUCGUCUGAGUACUUGAUAAUAGUUAAAACUUUCAACAACGGAUCUCUUGGUUCUGGCAUCGAUGAAGAACGCAGCGAAAUGCGAUAAGUAAUGUGAAUUGCAGAAUUCAGUGAAUCAUCGAAUCUUUGAACGCACAUUGCGCCUAGCGGUAUUCCGCUAGGCAUGCCUGUUCGAGCGUCAUUUCAACCCUCAAGCCUGGCUUGGUAUUGGGUGUCACCAGCAUGGUGGGCCCUAAAAUCAGUGGCGGUGCCAUCUGGCUUCAAGCGUAGUAAUACUUCUCGCUCUGGAGUCCAGGUGGUUGCUUGCCAAAACCCAUACUUUCUAAGGUUGACCUCGGAUCAGGUAGGGAUACCCGCUGAACUUAAGCAUAUCAAUAAGCGGAGGAAAAGAAACCAACAGGGAUUGCCUCAGUAACGGCGAGUGAGCGGCACAGCUCAAUUUGAAAUCUGGCCCUGGUCGAGUGUAUUUGCAGAGAUGUUUCGGCUUGUCGUCUAGUCUGAUAGAACGUCAUAGAGGUGGAUCCGUAUGCGACUGGGUGCCCUAAGCCUCAUGU